GACAUUUGGUGUAUGUGCUUGGC
rnacentral:piRNA from 4 species